CUCCCUUUUCCAUCUAACUGUCAAAGGAUGCCCGUUAUUGAAAUCGCAUUUUGAAAGGGUCACCGGAGAAUACUCGGACAUGGUGUCUUCCAUACCCUCUACUAUUAUUGAAGCUUAGAUCGCUCAUUUUAACCAUAUACAUCAGCCGAGAAAAGCAGAGGUAGAGAAGCAAUAGGUAAAAAAAUGCUGAGCGUAUUAACUGCUGGGAAUUGUCCUGUUUCUUUUUGGCCGGAGAAUGCGGCAUCUGAUCACUUCUGUUGUCCGUCUUGCUGUAUUCUGGGACUAAAUUAUUAA
rnacentral:lncRNA from 1 species